GCUAGUAAUCGCGGAUCAGAAUGCCGCGGUGAAUACGUUCCCGGGUCUUGUACACACCGCCCGUCACACCAUGGGAGUCGGGAGUGCCCGAAGUCAGUGACCCAACCUUAGGGAGGGAGCUGCCGAAGGCAGGCCUGGUGACUGGGGUGAAGUCGUAACAAGGUAGC
rnacentral:rRNA from 1 species